UCAGCUCCGCCCUGUAACCUUAUGCUGCCCUGGCGGGGUCAGAUUUUGAGUUCCCUCUGUUCGGGCUGUUGGUCCUGGCAUUACCCGCAUCCAGGUUUUGUGGAAUUUGUAUGUCUGAUGUGAGAGUUUCUAGUGUUAAGAAUGUGCUAGACUUUUGUUUGAGAACAUGGAAGACAUGGCAGGCGUGUGUUUAUCUAGCGGUUACCGGUUGUGGUAUUAUAGCACGAACUAUGUUCUUGUUUUGGUGAUUCGUCUUGCCUAUUGGUCUAUAUUAUGUUCGCGAGAUCUUGAUUGCCUCGCUGGUUGAGAACUAACUUUGCUAACUUUAACUCUCUGAUGUUAUUGGCGUGUUGUUUGAAAUGCUGAUAUCGGUAGUAGUGAGAGCAACUUGAACAGGCUGACCCAAACAGACGGUGUUUUUGUCCGCUUUUUGUCCGUUUGGGUCGGCCGCCCGCUGUCCGUCCUCUUUUAGUUUUGGGUCUGCAUUGUGCCCAACGGACCGACCCAUUUCAUGACCGCGUGCGUUUAAGAUCAUGCCGUUGCCCUGGUUUUGGCGCUCUAGCGCGCGGGAAAGGUGCGCGCUCCAGCGCGCGGGAAAGGUUCACGCGCGCAUCGUGGCCGACGCUCGUUAUAAAGAAGGCGUUCCCUCCACACUCUGUUCGCCGCCCAUUCUCGCCGCCUGGGCGCUUCGGAUUUUCGGAGAGUCCGUGAGCGCCGCUCCGGCGCCUUCUCCUCUGAGAUCUGGUUUCGCGAGAAACGUCUCAUCCUCAGCAUCUUCGACACCGCAGAGGAGGCGGCCCGCGCGCACGACGCGGCGGCGUGGCGCCUCCUGAGGCCUCGUCGGGAAAUGAAUUUUCCCAACGUGUCCAGCCAGCGGGCGCAGGAUCUGGCGCCUCUCCCGCGGCUUUUCACCGACGAGGAUCGUCGUGUCCACCGGAGGCGGCUGCGUCGCCGCGCCAUCGCAGAGAAGGACGUGAAAGCCUUGGUGGUGUGGUGUAGAGGCUUCCCGCAGGACAUCGUCGACGAGCGCCAGUUCUACAAGCAAUUGAUGUUGGAGAGGGACGCAAGGAGGAGGGAGCGAGCCGCCUAUCGGGAGGACAAGCGUUCGCGGAAGCAAGCAGCUCAAUUGAAACUGAAGCUACGAGAAACGUCGGGUUGGGACUUUGAAGACGAGCAGCUUACUGACGCCUACCUUCAGACGUCGGAGGAGGAUAUUACCGAGUCGGAGUCAGAAAGCGACGAGUAGUGGUCUUUUUCUUUUAUCUGUGUACGCUAGAACUAUCUAUGUAUCUGAAAAAAUGGCCGGCGGCGUCGGCGACGUAGCAGGCGGGCGAGGGUGUGAAUCCACUGUGCCACCGACCAGCGGGAUCGAUGAGGAAAGAGGGCGAGCGCGCGCGCGUCCGUCUUGUGUCCGCGCCGACGCAAAUUAGGCUAAAAAAUGGGCCCGGAAUGGGUCGGCAGGCGGACGAAAGCGGACGCCCGUCCGUUUGGGUCGGCGCGUUGGGCCGGCUUUUUUGUCCACGCAAACCCAAACGGACGGCCGCGGACAAAAUGGGUCGCCCAUAGGAGUUGCUCUAAUUUACCAGUCAAUUUUCUCAAAAACAACGUGUGUUGUCAUAUAUAUCAUGGAAGAUCAUAAAAGCCCAUGUGAUGUGGCCACUUCACAACGGCGCGCUGGAGACAGGAGCUCCUUUCUAUUUUGAGGGAAAGAGACAGGAGUUCCAUUUUGGCGGUGAAUCCUAUGUCCUAUUCCUCUCGCAGGUCGGUGAGUAUUGAUCAAAGGUGAAUCCCCGCGCUUGUUCUUCGCAUGGGUGGGUCCAUUCUGGGGUUUUGCCCCACUGGUUAAGGGAAGGUUCCUUUCUACUUUUUUUUAAAAUUCAGGAUUUUUCAUAAAAUCAGUAUUUUUAAAUUAAAAUCAUGAACAAUUCUUUAUUUCAUGUACAUGUGGGAAAAUCACGAAGGCAUUUCAAAUUCAUGAAAUUAUUUAAAAGUUUUGAUCUGAAUUCAAGAACAAUUUUUGAAAUUCAUGAAUAUUUUUUUUUAAACUUGAUGUUCGCGAGUCCUUGAUUGCCUCGCUGGCUGAGAACUAACUUUGCUAACUUUAACUCUCCGAUGUUAUUGGCGUGUUGUUUGAAAUGCUGAUAUCGGUGGUAGUAACUUACCAGUCAAUUUUCUCAAAAACAAUGUGUGUUGUCAUAUAUAUCAUGGAAGAUCAUAAAAGCCCAUGUGAUGUGGCCACUUCACAACGGCGCUGGAGACAGGAGCUCCUUUCUUUUUUGAGGGAAAGAGACGGGAGUUCCAUUUUGGCGGUGAAUCCUAUGUCCUAUAUAUUCCUCUCGCAGGUCGGUGAGUAUCGAUCAAAGGUGGAUCCCCGCGCUUGUUCCUCGCAUGGGUGGGUCCAUUCUGGGGUUUUCCCCCACUGGUUAAGGGAAGGUUCCUUUCUGCUUCUUUUUUAUAAAUUCAGGAUUUUUCAUAAAAUCAGUAUUUUUUAAAUUAAAAUCAUGAACAAUUCUUUAUUUCAUGUACAUCUUGGAAAAUCACGAAGGCAUUUCAAAUUCAUGGAAUUAUUUAAAAGUUUUGAUCAUUUUCUGAAUUUAAGAACAAUUUUUGAAAUUCAUGAAUAUUUUUUUCAAACUUGCGAACAUUAUUUCGAAAGUAGUGGUUGUUUUCUUUCAAACUAACAAACAUUUAUUGAAAUCAUGAACAUUAUUUGAAUUCAUGAAUAUUUUUUGAAUUCGUGACCAUUUUUUAAACUUGUAAUUAUUUUUUGAAAUUAGUGAACAUUGUUUGAACUCAGGAUUUUUUGAACUUUCAUGAACAUUUUUUUGAAUUCACGAACAUUUUUUGAAAGUCAUAAACAUGUUUGAACUCAUGAAUUUUAUUUUAGAAUUCAUGAACAUUAUUUUGAAUUCAUGAACCUUUUUGCACUUCAUGAUUAUUUUCUGAAUUCAAUAACUUUUGUUGAUUUCAUGAGCAUUUUUUGAAUUCACGAACAUUUUUUUAAAUUCAUGUUUUAUUUGAAUUUCUCAACAUUUUUCAAAUUGGUGAUAAUCUUUUCAAGUAUUCCCUUAGAUCUUAUUAAUUGUUGCUGACUUAGAACAACUUUAGUAGAAAGUUGUAUUAAGUCAGCCACAAUUAAUAUGGAUUAGAGGGAGUACAUUGACAUUUAAAAAAAAUGAAAACUAUUUUUAAAUCCCAAACAAUUUUACCGAAGCAAAAAACAAAAAAANNNNNNNNNNNNNNNNNNNNNNNNNNNNNNNNNNNNNNNNNNNNNNNNNNNNNNNNNNNNNNNNNNNNNNNNNNNNNNNNNNNNNNNNNNNNNNNNNNNNNNNNNNNNNNNNNNNNNNNNNNNNNNNNNNNNNNNNNNNNNNNNNNNNNNNNNNNNNNNNNNNNNNNNNNNNNNNNNNNNNNNNNNNNNNNNNNNNNNNNNNNNNNNNNNNNNNNNNNNNNNNNNNNNNNNNNNNNNNNNNNNNNNNNNNNNNNNNNNNNNNNNNNNNNNNNNNNNNNNNNNNNNNNNNNNNNNNNNNNNNNNNNNNNNNNNNNNNNNNNNNNNNNNNNNNNNNNNNNNNNNNNNNNNNNNNNNNNNNNNNNNNNNNNNNNNNNNNNNNNNNNNNNNNNNNNNNNNNNNNNNNNNNGAUGGUCUUUUCACCCGCGCCCAUACGCGGCUUGCGUACAUAUACGCGCUCCCUAUUUCCUCACAGCGUGUUUUUUUCUCGCGUCGCCGUCAGCUGUUUUUCACUUUCUUUUUAGAAGAAAAAAAGAGUGCAAGUAACAUGACUUGAACUCACAACCUCUUGGUGUAAGGAUGACCACACUAACCAACUAGGACAUCCUAAUGCUUAUAAAUAUUAACUUCUUUUUUUGCUUUCUUCUACUUCAGUUCGUGGCUGGGCCGGCCAUUGUUGAAUCUAUCAUUUCAUCAUUAUUGAAAAAUGAAAAAGAAUAAAAAAUCAAACAAUAAACUGGUCGCUAAUUGAUAUAUUUUCAUUAUUAUUUUCUAUUAAAUAGAUGUUUAUUUAUAAGUGUUCGAUUUUCUUCACUGAGCAUGUUUCCGUUUAAAUGAACAAUAAACGAAGAUUUUGGUUCAAUCAAACAAUGAACGAACAAUUUUCUAUUUAAUAGAUGUUCAGAAAUUUAAUUAUAUUGAUGUCAGAAUUUUUCUAUUUAAACGAAUAAUUUUUUACAUAUAUGUACAUUUUUUUAAAUGCAAAUAUUUGUACUUUAUGGACAAAAUUUUAAAAAUCAAACAUUUUUGGAACUUUUGAGAUUUUUUUAUAUGUGUGAGCAUUUCUUGAAAAAUAAAAAUAAAAUGAAAAAUAAAAAAACGAAUAGAGAAAACAUAAAAGAAAUAGUGAUAAACGGGCUGGUUCAACACAAUGGGCCGGCCCAGCCGCGAACCGUAGUAGAGUAAAAUAAGAAAAAGAAGUAAAUAGGCACAACCCUUAAGGUGUCCUAGAUGGUUAGAGUGGUGGUCCUUAGACCUAGAGAUAUUGAGUUUGAUUCAUGUCGCAUGUGUUAUUUUUCUAAGUUUAAUAAAAAGUUUGUACGAUGCCUCAUACGUGUCACCUAUGCGUAUGAGUAUAUGGUUUGAUGAAAUGACCAUACUGUCCUUAUACGGUUUGUGGAGGGGGAUCCAAAGAAAACUAUGAAAAAUAUAUGUUCAGUUUCUAAAUCCAAUUAAAGACAAAUAAAUGAAAUAGGACAAUGCAUGAAAGAUAUCCGCCAAUCCGCUAGGGUCCAAUCCGCUAAGGUUUCAUUUCACCCCAACAAAAACAUACGGGAGACAUGUGCCUAGGUGUCAAGAGUAAAUAUUGUUUCCAACAAUGCAUGAAACCAACUGUUGGCUUCUACUCCCUCCAUUCCAACGAAUAAGUUAGACACACAUUUUAAAACUAAAGUUUGACAUAAAUUAGACCAAUCAAUUGUGGGUUAUAUGUGACAAAAAAAUACCAUUGGAUUCGUAUUUGAAAAUAGUUUUCAAUGGUAUAAUUUCCAAUUCAUAGAACAUAUAUUAUUGGUUUAAUUUAUGGUCAAAGUAAGAUUUUGGGAUGCUUGUGCGGCUUAUUUUUUUUGGAAUGGAGGGAGUAUGUUGUAUACUUGAGAUUUUUUGUAGUUAAUUUGCUGCAAUCAAUACAGAUUUGUUGUAUACACAAUUUUUUUUGUUGCAUGAAAAUGUUUAAAAUGUUUCUACGUUUUUUUGCAUGUAUUAAACAUAACUUACAAGAAAAAUAUGUCGGCGGUGUUGCAAAUGUGUAAAAAAAUGUUCCGCGCAAGACUUGGCACAACAAUAGUCAGACGGUUAGUAUAUCAUGUUUAAGACGGAUCGUAUGGCAUGGGAGGCAACCGACCAAGGGCUGCCUCCGCUCUGUUGAUACCUAACACACCCCAAAAUUUUAAGGAAACAAUCUAAUUCAGCAGGGCGUUAAAUGUCUCGGGUCGGCCACCUCCAACGUUGGGCACAAGUCCCGUGCACGGUCACAUCAUUCAAGGUGGACACAUCCUUAUAUGUGGCUAGAAGUCUCCCGUCCAGUCAUUUCCUCCGCCCGCGUAGGUUGCCGCUUCUUCCUCUUCCACUUUCUCGUGGCCUAUGGCCAGGCCGAAGUAAUAGAGGCUCGAGGGUUUCAACACCCAGUGCAUCUGCCUCGUACAACUUCUGAGUGCUCCAAGACCUCCCCACAACUCUACAUCCCUGACCUCUUAGUGUUGUAGGUCAUGUGGCAAUGUUGUGAGGGUACCUGCCGAUGCUACAAGGCUGAUGCUUGAUGGAGCUUGAUGCUGCAAUCCCAGGCGCGAGCUACUACAAGAGGCACUACCGGUGCUUGAAGGGUUGUUGUUGAAGGAAAUAUGUCCUAGAGGCAAUAAUAAAGUUAUUUUAUAUUUCCUUAUAUCGUGAUAAAUUUUUAUUAUUCAGGCUAGAAUUGUAUUAACCGGAAACUUGAUACAUGUGUGGAUGCAUAGACAAAACACCGUGUCCCUAGUAAGCCUCUACUAGACUAGCUCAUUAAACAAAGAUGGUUAAGUUUCCUAACCAUAGACAUGUGUUAAACAAAGAUGGUUAAGUUUCCUAACCAUCAUUAGGAGAAUGAUGUGAUGGACAAGACUAGCUUAGCAUAAUGAUCGUUCAGUUUUAGUGCUAUUGCUUUCUUCAUGUCAAAUACAUAUUCCUUCCACUAUGAGAUUAUGCAACUCCCGAAUACCGGAGGAAUGCCUUAUGUGCUAUCAAACGUCACAACGUAACUGGGUGAUUAUAAAGAUGCUCUAUAGGUAUCUCUGAAGGUGUUUGUUGGGGUGACAUAGAUCGAGAUUAGGAUUUGUCACUCAGAGUAUCAGAGAGGUAUCUCUGGGCCCUCUCGGUAAUGCAAUCAUAAGAAGCCUUGCAAGCAAAGUGACUAAUGAGUUAGUUACAAGAUGAUGUAUUACGGAAUGAGUAAAGAGACUUGCCGGUAACGAGAUUGAACUAGGUAUGUGGAUACCGACGAUCGAAUCUCGGGCAAGUAACAUACCGAUGACAAAGGGAAUAACGUAUGUUGUCAUAACGGUUCGACCGAUAAAGAUCUUCGUAGAAUAUGUAGGAGCCAAUAUGAGCAUCCAAGUUCCGCUAUUGGUUAUUGACCGGAGAGGUAUCUUGGUCAUGUCUACAUAGUUCUCGAACCCGUAGGGUCCGCACGCUUAACGUUCGUUGACGAUAUAAUAUUAUAUGAGUUAUGUGAUUUGGUGACCGAAUGUUGUUUGGAGUCCCGGAUGAGAUCACGGACAUGAUGAGGAGUCUCGAAAUGGUCGAGAGGUAAAGAUUGAUAUAUAGGACGAUGGUAUUCGGACACCGGAAGUGUUCCGGAGGGUACCGGGUACUUAUCAGGUCACCGAAAAGGAGUUUCGGGCACCCCCGGCAAAGAUAUUGGCCUUAUGGGCCAAGUGAGGGAACACACCAGCCCUGGUGCGCCCCUAUAGAGGCCAGCCCUAUGAGGAGGAGGAUAAGGAAAGAGGGGAGAGCAAGGAAAGUGUGGAUUAGGAUUCCUACUUCCUUCCCUCUCCCCCCUCUUUCCUUCCCCCUCGGUUAUAUAUGGCAGGGGGGCACGCGGCUUGGGAGGGACUCCAAGUAGGAUUCCUCCUACUUGGGCGCCUCCUAUGGCUGCUCCUCCCUCCCUCCCCCCCCACACACGCGCACACACACACACACGCACGCACACACACNNNNNNNNNNNNNNNNNNNNNNNNNNNNNNNNNNNNNNNNNNNNNNNNNNNNNNNNNNNNNNNNNNNNNNNNNNNNNNNNNNNNNNNNNNNNNNNNNNNNNNNNNNNNNNNNNNNNNNNNNNNNNNNNNNNNNNNNNNNNNNNNNNNNNNNNNNNNNNNNNNNNNNNNNNNNNNNNNNNNNNNNNNNNNNNNNNNNNNNNNNNNNNNNNNNNNNNNNNNNNNNNNNNNNNNNNNNNNNNNNNNNNNNNNNNNNNNNNNNNNNNNNNNNNNNNNNNNNNNNNNNNNNNNNNNNNNNNNNNNNNNNNNNNNNNNNNNNNNNNNNNNNNNNNNNNNNNNNNNNNNNNNNNNNNNNNNNNNNNNNNNNNNNNNNNNNNNNNNNNNNNNNNNNNNNNNNNNNNNNNNNNNNNACACACACACACACACACACACACACACACACACACACACACAUAUAUAUACAGCCUGCCUAUUCUGCUAAUAUUAGCAGAAUAGUUAUUCUACUAACACUUCGGAACUGCACGCUCAAUGGAAGUGCACGUAAUUUUUUGAAGCAAUAGCACUGCAGUACCGAUGCGAGUGCACUUCCCGUCGCAAAAAACUGUACGCGGUAUUUUUUCGGUACCUUUUUCGCUCUAAUUUUUUUAACCGUUUGUCAGAACGAGGCGUGUAAUAUACCCUUGAAAAGCUAUGGAUUAGGCGCAACUUUGCUAUGUUGAAUUGUUUUCAAGAUUCUUCACGGUUUAAGAGCCGUUUUGAAAAUAGUGCGGCGCGCGACGAGUGGCAGCGAGCGUUUUUUUCUAAACAAUUUGUCGGAAUGAAGCAAAUGAUACACGUUGGAAAGAUAUCAUCGAGGGGCAUCUUUUUCAUAUCUAUUAUUUUCUCUAAUUUGUUACGGUUUAAGAGCAGUUUCAAAUUUACAAAAUCGCGGAAUUCUGGUUUUUGAUUUUUUUUAAAUUUUCGAUAGUGUUUUUUCUCCAGUUUUCUAACCGUUUAUCGAAACGAGACGUGUAAUAUACCGUUGAAAAGCUAUGGACGAGGCGCAACUUUCAUAUGUUGAAAUGUUUUUGAGAUUCCUUAAGGUUUUUAGUUAAUUUUGAAAAUCGUGCGGCUGACUACGAGAGGCAGCGGCCGUUUUUCAUGAAAUUUUUGCAAACCGCUUUGUCGAAAUGAUUCAAAUUAUACGUUGUUGGAUAGAUAUUGACGAGACACAACCUUUUCAUGUAGAAUACUCUCUCCAAUUCCUUACGGUUUAAGAGCAAUUUUGAUUUUAACGAAAUGCGGACACUGUUUUUUCGCGACCCAAAAUCGUCGUUUGUACUGCAUCAGACAGAAAACCGCACUGCUUUAGACUAAAAACAACACUUCAUCAGACGGACAAGUGCAUUGCAUCAUUUCUUUUUUUGUGGGACAGAAAUUUUUCCCAAACGAGGUAGCAAACCGCACUGCUUCAGACUAAAAAACACACUACAUCAGAUGGGCAAGUGCACUGCAUCGUUUCUUUUGCCAGACUUAAUUUUUCUCAUGCGAGGAAGUGAAGUGCGCUUCACAUCGUGCGUAAGUGAACCGCGUUACUUUUUGUUCUUGUUUCGGUAACAUUUUUUCUUGCACUUACGAGAUGAACAUCAUGAGACGGCCGUCCGCACUGCUUCAUAUGGAAAACCGCACUACAUUAGAUGGGCAAGCGAACUUCAUUGUUUUUAUGCAUUUUAUUUUAAAUGGAGUGGACAGAAAAGUCCUUCAUAGUGGACUUUUUUAAGACCAAAGUGCACCGCAUUUGCAUAUUUUUUAAAUGUUUUUUGUUCUAAAUGGAGUGUACUGAAUAGUCCUUUCGUAGUGGGCUUCUUUUAGUCCAAAGUGCACCGCAUUUGCAUGUUUUUUAAAUGCAUUUUGUUUUAAAUGGGGUGUACUGAAAAAUCCUUCAUAGUGGACUUUUGUUCUAAAUGAAGUGUACUGAAGAGUCCUUCAUAGCGGACUUUUUUUAAACCAAAGUGCACUGCAUUUGCAUUUUUUUAAAUGCAUUUUGUUUUCAAUGGAGUGUACUGAAAAGUCCUUCGUGGUGGACUUUUUGUAAGACCAAAGUGCACUGCAUUUGCAUUUUUUUAAAUGCACUUUGGUAUAAAUGUAGUAGAAUAGUCCUUCCUAGUGGACCUUUUUUAGACCAAAGUGCACCACAUGAUCGAAAAGAAUGAACCACAAGACCAUGCUUUUUAUGGACCACAAUUUUUUAAACACAAAUCAUGUAUGUGUUCACCGUACAUGGCAACCGAGUUAAUGUAUCCAAACACAAAAAAGACUGCACGCGCCCAAACGGCAAUGCUUUUUGCCCACAACCGCUACCCCUUUUGUGCCGGACUGAACUUUUGUUCACAAGUAUAGUAGAAGUGUUAGUUUCCUUAUAGGAUGCAAAUCUGUACAACUCUCUCUUGAAGACAUCAAAUUCACAAGUGCACUUAUGAACAAGAAAGUUGCCUUCUCGUUUUGCCUCCAUAAUGGAUCAAAGAAGCAGUGCAAAAGCUUGCCAUCUGAAGAAUGCACAGGAGAUACAUCAGCAAGGAACUGCACAACACACUUUUGAAGGAAAAAGAAAUUCAAACCGAACACUCAGCAUCUGGGAACUACACGCGGGGAGAAGGGGCAGCUCGUCGGGGGCCAGAGAUCCGUUGGUGCGGCGCCACGCCGGGGGAGGCCCUCUGCUUGACGAUGGCACGCCUGGGAGGUGGGCUGCAAUGCGGCGAUUUUUGUGCACUGCAUCAGAAAGUGCAGUCCAUGGCGCGGGGGCGAUGGGAUCCGCACGGCUUCACGUGCCUGCACUGCAUGCCGUCGGGCGGCUGGGAACCUCGCAGGGACGCCUGCACGACUAGCCGACGAGGUAGGGGCUCGACAUGGGGAGGGAGGCCGGCCGUCGCGGGGCGGGGCCAUGGCUGUCGAGGCCAGCAAUCACGGGGGCAGCCCGGCUGGAUCCGGAUGCACUGGUGCGAGGGAGGUGGCUCAUCCGCUCGCCGGUGCGGAUUCGGCGCCCGACGGAUCGGGCGGAGGCAGCGCGAUGGAUGGGUGGGGCACAUGGCGGGGCAGUGGCCAUGGCUGGAGCGGGACGGGGUCGGGGCCGUCGCUGGGCGGCGCUGCAGGUCAGAGGCGCGCUGCGGAGAUGCGGGGCGGCGCUGGACGGGAGGAGUAGAAGGUGUGGCGGCUCUGGACGGGAGGAGGACAAGGCGGGGNNNNNNNNNNNNNNNNNNNNNNNNNNNNNNNNNNNNNNNNNNNNNNNNNNNNNNNNNNNNNNNNNNNNNNNNNNNNNNNNNNNNNNNNNNNNNNNNNNNNNNNNNNNNNNNNNNNNNNNNNNNNNNNNNNNNNNNNNNNNNNNNNNNNNNNNNNNNNNNNNNNNNNNNNNNNNNNNNNNNNNNNNNNNNNNNNNNNNNNNNNNNNNNNNNNNNNNNNNNNNNNNNNNNNNNNNNNNNNNNNNNNNNNNNNNNNNNNNNNNNNNNNNNNNNNNNNNNNNNNNNNNNNNNNNNNNNNNNNNNNNNNNNNNNNNNNNNNNNNNNNNNNNNNNNNNNNNNNNNNNNNNNNNNNNNNNNNNNNNNNNNNNNNNNNNNNNNNNNNNNNNNNNNNNNNNNNNNNNNNNNNNNNNNNNNNNNNNNNNNNNNNNNNNNNNNNNNNNNNNNNNNNNNNNNNNNNNNNNNNNNNNNNNNNNNNNNNNNNNNNNNNNNNNNNNNNNNNNNNNNNNNNNNNNNNNNNNNNNNNNNNNNNNNNNNNNNNNNNNNNNNNNNNNNNNNNNNNNNNNNNNNNNNNNNNNNNNNNNNNNNNNNNNNNNNNNNNNNNNNNNNNNNNNNNNNNNNNNNNNNNNNNNNNNNNNNNNNNNNNNNNNNNNNNNNNNNNNNNNNNNNNNNNNNNNNNNNNNNNNNNNNNNNNNNNNNNNNNNNNNNNNNNNNNNNNNNNNNNNNNNNNNNNNNNCCCGACAGGAUCCACCUAAUUCCCCGAUCCCGAGCCGACCAACCCCCCUCCUUGCCGCUCCUUCCCUCGAUCCCCGACCUCCCCCCUCGUUUGCCGCCGAUCUUCGCCGGAUCCGCCGCCUCCCCUCCGUCUCCAGCUCCUGGUUGACCGAAUCCGCCGCCACACCUCCGUCCCACCUCCUGGCCGACCACCGGCGCGAGCGAGCGAGCGACGGCGGACGCUGGCGCGAGGGAGCCCGCGUCGCCUAGACGCGGCGAAGCCGCCACGGACUUCCGGAAGCCGCAUCCUCCUUCCAUCCUCACCACCCGACGUCUUGGCAGAGCAGAUGACGGCCCUGACGCAAGCUAUGGCGAAUGGCGCGGCCAACGGAGCAACUCCUCAGCGGAGGCGGCAUCGGCGGCGCCUUCAAAUCCAACAACAGUACAUGAACUUCCUCCCACUUGUUGCCUUCUUCUUCAAUCUUGCCUUGCCUAACCUUCUUGCUUCGUGUAGAUGAACUUCGUGCCCUCUGCAAGACAUGGAUUUCCGUGGAAUUCCUCUCCUACCUCCAUGACGAAUUGCUCUCAAGGUGGCCUAUCAGUUGCUAGAAAAAGGUUGGCCGGACUUCUAGCCAGGGUAUGGUUGAACUUCUUCCUUCUGUUUGUUAUUUUCUUACAGCCAUGUGAAGUUCAGGUAGGUUGUGAGCCUCAGUCCAGGCUGCAAAACAUUUGGAAAAUCUGCCUGCUUACAGCCAUGUGAAGUUCAGGUAGUUUGUGAGCCUCAGUCCAGGCUACAAACAUCAUUUUAAAAUCUGCCUGCUUAGAGCCAUGUGAAGUUCUGGUAGUGUGUGAGCCUCAGUCCAGGCUACAAACAGUAGAAAAUCUGCUUGUGAAAUCUGCCUGCUUUUCACAUUCACAUGUGAAAAGCCAUGUGAAGUUCAACUAUUAAGUGUGCCAGAGUUCAGGUUGGUAUGUAUCUAGUUCUGUGCAAAAAAAUAAAUAAAAGGAAAAUAGAACAUGCAUGUGAUCUCACAUGAAGGUCACGUUGGUAUGCACUAGUGGUUCAACCAUUCAAACUCAUGAAGGUUUAGGUUUUUUAACUUUAGACAAUAUUUCCCCUUUGCAAAACAAGAAGUUCAUGUUGUGGAGAGUGCUCAGUUCAGGUACAUAUAAGUAAUCAAAUAGUGUAGAAUUAACAGAAUGUGAGGUUCAUUCUAUGAAGGGUGCUCAGUUCAGGUACAAAAGUAUUGGCAGAUGCUCAGCUCAGUGCAGAGUGUGAUGCCUAUCCUAGGGGAAAAAUAUGUACAUGAACACCACUUUUAUAUGAGAAGUUCAGGCUGUGAAUAAUGCUAAGUUCAGUUACAAAGGUAUAGGCAGAUGUAACUUGUGUGCUAAUAAACAUUUUUUUCUUUUGUGUCAGCAAGACGAGAGACGUAUGAAGAAGCUUAGAAGUUCCCAGCAGAAAGUACACAAUCCUAACUUCCUCAAAAAAAAGUACACAAUCCUAAGCCUGUACGCGUUGCACCACCCCCUCAAUGGGUCACACCUCAAACGCACCAACAACAUUGCCAACCUGCUCUAGACCAAAAAUGGAUGACAUCCGAAACACAUGGAGACUUCCAAGAUGCUGGGUCGCAGCCCUAUCCGCACAACUUUGCGCCUCCACCUAAUUGGGUGACGCUGGAAAUCCCCCACGGAUUCUUUGUAUCACCAGCAGACUCCCAAGCACGCUGAUGGAGGAGGGGGUUAGCUCAAGUCCUGCGUGUAACUCUGGAGGUUAUCCUAGUGUGCCUCAUCAAUGCCAAAGGGAAGCAACUAAACCGGAUCCCAGGACAAAUCCAACAGGAACACACACACGGAGGAGAGUGCUCUGCACACUACAACCGUUGGAUCCUGCUGCUGCUGCUACAAGUCAGAAUUGUACGGGACAUAAGGUAGAUGGAUUGCAUCACAAAACAAAAGAGCAAACCAAGACCAGGAUCGCAAUACCUCCACAACCACCUCAAGCAAAAAAGGACGCAAACAAGAGAGAGGCCAUCUUCAGCCCUCCUUCCUCCUCGUGAUCCACUCCUGCAUCCUGCUAUGAUUACUCCGCCGUGCCCCAUCCCAGAGGGACACCAGCAGACUCCGGUGGAGUUGCGAUCAUACACGCACGUAAGUGAAACAAAAUAUUUAUAUACACAUCUUGUAUUAUCUGCAAAUUUUCUGCUCCCUCCAGGAUAACAAGUUCAUAAACUGCAUUUUAACGUGCCGUUUGGAUUUCUUUUUCUUUUUCUGCAGAUGCCGGAUCUCCCGGUUUAUCUAAUACCAAGACUAAAGAUGCGAUUCUGAGAUGUAGAGAAAGCAAGGGAAUUUUAUAACAGAUACGCCAGACACGCUGGUUUUGGAAUCAGGAAGACGGGAGGGAAUGACAAUCACAAGUAUUUUGUUUGUGGGGUCCAAGGGAAACACACAACUUCUGUUUCAGAGGCUGACAGGCAGCGAAACAAAACAUCACAGAGGACAGGCUGCAAUGCAAGAAUGAGGGUGAAGGUCCAGGAGGAUAACACAUGCGUGGCAGUGGACAUUGAGUACAAUCAUAAUCACCAACUCAUGCAAACUGAUGACAUGCUGGUAUUCUUGCACUCACACAAGAAUUAUGACCCCACUAUUUUGGAGUACGUAAAGCUCCUGCAGUACCACGAUGUCAAGCACACAACAAUCAUGUCCAUGCUAUCUGAAAAUGAAGACGAAAGCUACUUCCUAAGCAUGACCGGACGAGACCUACUAAACCAGUAAGUAUUCAAACAUGCACAUACUGCAAUGUACAUAGCAUCCUAAGUCACAACCUUUUGCUAGCAAAAAUAACAAAUGCAUGUUUGCAUGUAAUUUGUAGGAAAGCCAUGAAUGCAAGGAAAGAUGAUUUGGAUGAUGUAUUGAAACUUAUAUCAUUCUUCAAAGACAUGAAGGCAAUCAAUGAUGAGUUUUUCUAUGACAUAGAAGUAGACAAGGACAAGUCAAUUAAAAACAUUUUCUGGUCCAAUGCAAGCUGCCGUGGAGCGUAUCAAGACUUUGGCGAUUGCGUAACAUUCGACACAACUUACAAGACCAACAGAUUUCAUAUGCCUCUGGGAGUGUUUGUUGGAACAAACCAUCACUUGCAGUCAACAAUAUUUGUUGUUGCCCUGAUCAGAGACAAAGAUGCAAAGUCAUUCAAGUGGCUGCUCGAUACAUUUGUACGGUGCAUGAACAACAAGCACCCAACUUGCAUUCUAACAGGUGAGUUAAAAAAAACUCUACAAGUUUCAUCAUCUUUUCAGUCUAUGGGUCUGUAUUGGGUAUAUUUGGUUUUAUUUGAAAAUAAUGUAAAGCAAGCAGUUCAACCACUGUUAGCACAGAAGUCCAACAAACAGUACAAGAAAGCAAAAUUAUCUGUCACAUGUUUAGAAAAAAAUUAGUUAUGAAUGUGAAGUUCAAAUACAGGAAUCAUAGAAGUUCAAGGACAAAGCUGUAAGAAAAAUAUAUGUAACAUGUUCAAAAAAAUAUAGUUAUUUAUGUGAAUUUCAAGCACCGGUACCACAUAAGUUCAACAACACUGCUGUAAGAAAAUUUUGUGUGUGACACUAUUAGGUAGUCCUACUGCUACCUGUGAAGUUCAAGAACUGGUACCACAGAAGUUCAACAACACUGCUAUAAGAAAAAAUACAUGUGACAUUUUUAGAUAGUCAUACUGCUACCUGUGAACUUCAAGCACUGGUACAACAUAAGUUCACCAUCAGUGCAAAAAGAAGCAAGUUUCAUUUUUUUAAUUCAUGCAGACCAGUGCCCGUCGAUGGCGAAAGCUAUACCACAAUCAUUCCCAAACACUGUCCACAAGCUAUGCCGUUGGCACAUCUUGAAGAAGUACAGGGAAUACCUCACGUUGCUGUACAAAAAGUAUAAAACAUUCAAAGAGGAGUUCACAGCUAUAUUAAACUGGCCGCUGAUGCCAACGGAGUUUCAAGCUGCCUGGGCUGAACUCGUGCACAAGUACAACCUAGAGAACGACCAGAUGAUGAUCCAGCUGUGGAGUGAUAGGAAAAUGUGGAUUUUAACAUAUUACAAGAACAUUUUCUGUGCUACAAUGACUUCCACACAACGAAGCGAGAGCAUGAACCACGUGUUCAAGAAAGGGUUUGUCAAGGGGACCCAGAACCUACACAAGUUUGCUAGGCGGGUAAAUGCUUGCAUACAAACUCAGAUGCAGAAGGAGAACGAGCAAACAAUGACCAACAUGGUAUGAAGACAAAAAAAUACCCCCAUCAUAUUGUGUUUUGCUUCAACAUGUGCACUUUGAAUUUUAAAAAAUGAAACCCAUGACUCUGCUUCGACUAAUAUCUUAUUUUUUGACAUGUGCAGACCAAUCCUGUUGACAAAAACAACUUACGGCUACGAGGAAGACAUGUCUAUCAAGUACACGAGAGUCGUGUACACGGAGAUGAGGACUAGGAUGAGAAAAGCCAUGCUAUUUCGCACAAAGCCUACAACAGAGCCUACUAAGUACCUUGUGUACUACCACAACAAGGCUGGCCAUGAUGAUGAAGAAAGAUUUUCCUGGUCAAAACAUGAAUUCCAGGUGGUAGCUGACCCAGAGAAUGAAAUAUACGAGUGUGAAUGCAAGCUUUGGACACACACAGGUGAGCGAAAAAAACUCAUUAAAUAGCUAAACUAGUAGUAUCAUAUCAAAAUAUAUGAAACUCAUUGCUGGCUCACAAACUAUGUAUUCUGCAUUCAUCACAAAAUGCAGGCCUGUUCUGCCUUCACAUCAUGAACAUACUGGACUACCUGAAGCCUGACAAAUUUCCACACAAGUAUAUCCUCAAACGGUACACAAAGACUGUAAAAUCACAACCAAUCUUUGAUACAAGGGACUACAACACAACUGCAUCAGAUGGCAGCUCAAGACUAUCGAAGCAAGACAUCUUGCUGCAGCUAAAUUUGAUGGUUAACAAGAAAGCGAUGAGAUGUGACCAGCAAUAUGACAGAGCCUUCUAUGUUCUCAAGAGGCUCGUGGAAGAGCUUGAUGCAAUACAUUCAGCAAAUCGAGCGGAUGCUGAUGAAAGGAUGGCUGAAGAGGAUGCUGAAAUUGAAGAUGACCUUCAUUAUUAUGCAGCUGAAAUGCUCCACGCCGCUGCUCAAGCCGACCAAUGCAAGCAGGGUGUUGACCAAUUAAUGCAGCAGCGACAUCAAGAGACGAUGAAACUGUCGCUGUACUCUGAAACAAAGGGUAGGAAGAAAAUUUCUGCAGCAAAGAAAAGUGACAAGAGAGCUCAAAUAAAGGCACCACCUGCAGGAUGAGUCGUCGUGCUCGAUGAGAACAGAGUGCCACUUGGACACAUGCAAUUUAGUGUGUGCAAAAAGGUUACAGGACACAACAAGCUCACCUGUCCAACACUCUUAGAAAGAAACAAUGCCGAGGAGGUCAAGCAACCCAAAGUUCAAAAACAGCAACCCAAAGUUAUAGAACAAAAGAAAGGACCACACCCACAGAAAGCAAGCAGCAGACUUUGUAGCAUAUGCAAGGAGUAUGAACCACAUAAUGCAAGAACAUGCCCGAAGCGUGCAGAUGCUGAAAAGACAAGCAAAAAGCCAGAGAAGAAACAGAAAGCAAAACCUAGAGCCAGCAAAAAGAAAGUGGUGGAAGAUGAAGACACCAUUGAAGAAGAGGAAGACGAAGAGGAAGUGGAAUGCGAGGAGGAAGAGGAAGAGGAUGAUGAAGAGGAAGAGGACAAUGAAGAGGAAGAGAAAGAGGAAGAUGAACAGGAGGUACAUGUCAAGCAAAAACCACUACAACCAAAGCCUAGGAGGAGCGCAAGGCUGAUGAACAGUUAGAUUAGGUCAAUUAAACAAAGCAAACUUAUGUCAUGUCAAUGUGCAGAAUAUUAUUCCACUUUUGAAAUAGUAUUUUAGGAGAAGCUUACUUGAAUUUUUAUUGUUGAAGUUUCAAAGAAAUUAUAGAGUAGAAGUUCAAGUAAACUUACUGCAGAAGUACUAGUAUAAUAUAAGAGGGGGUGCUGGUGAUGCAAAGUAUGAAAGAGCAAGCAGUAAUAAAAUGAAAAAUAUACAAUGUGAAGUUCAAGUAAUAUUACUGCAGAAGUCCUGCUAUAUUAUGGCAGGAAGUGCUGUGCUGGUGAUGUAUUGCAUGAAAGAGCAAGCAGUAAUAAAAAUGAAAAAUAUACACUAUGAAGUUCAAGUAAUAUUACUGCAGAAGUCCUGCUAUAUUAUGAGAGGAAGUGCUGUGCUGGUGAUGUAUUCCAUGCAAAGUGCAAGCAAGAAUAAAAAUGAGAAAUAUACACUAUGAAGUUCAAGUAACAUUACAGUGGAAGUUCUGGUAUAUUAUGGCAGGAGGUGCUGGUGUUGUAUUCCAUAAAAGAGCAACCAGCAAAUAAUUAUGCAGUUUGAAGUUCAGGUCAGCUUACAGAAGAAGUUCCGAUAUAUAAAAUUGAUGUAGGAACAAAAUAUGCUUAAAAAAUAAAGUUUUGCCGUAUGAACAAAGGUUAGCAAGCCUAAGACAACACGUUCAGAUAUGAAGUUCUGUUUGGAUACGUGCAGAAGUUCAUGUACAAUGCCGACAAAACAUAAAGAAAUGUUAAGGAGUGUAUGAGAAUAUUUUUGCACAAAGUUAUAGUUGAAAUCCAUUCGCAGUUGAAAAAUCACAAAAAAGAAAUAUAGAUUCUAUGCAAAAGGCUACGUAUUGGUUGGGUUGAAAAAUAACAAUACAUUACACAACACAGAAAAUCCUCUCCAUCUGAAACCAGCAGCCCAGCCAGAUCUCAAGCAGAAGUUCAGAUCAAAGAUCAUAUGCUGGGGCCCAAAAUUAAACAACACAAAAAACAAGCAGUUCAACCGUAACCCAGGGAGAAGUUCAGCUACAUCUGUUGGGGAAAAAACAUACAUUACAUGGAUACUGAAAACGAUGGAGUACAUUGAAAUUCACAAGCCAAAUCAUUCUUCGCACUAAAUACAUUUGUCUGCAAUAUCAUAAGUAAUAGUGUUGCAGCUAUAGAUACACAAAUCACUAAACCAUUCUUACAACCAAAUCUUUACAGAAUCGUUCGAAUCAUUAUCAAACCUAAAAUCUGUACGAAAUAAAAUCUACACUGAAACUAAUGCUUCGAAUUCACGGGCCCAAGGACUGGAUCUCUUUAGGAAGCUCUACACGCAUGACUUCAUUCUUCUCGCUAAAGAUUAGAGUGUGCAUGAACUCGGCCUUCCAGUCAUCUGCAGCAGCCUGCAAACAAGAAAUGAAAUGAUGGUUUAGUAAUGGAUAACUAAAACCACAGCAGGAUCGUCUCAGCAAAAACACACAAGAAAAAUGAAAGGAUGAUGAGACAAGAACAAGGAAAAAACAUACUUCCACAUCACCAAAAUCUUCAACAAGCUCAUCGCCAUCAUAUGAAGAGCAGAACUUCAUGGCAAAGAAACCACAAUCAUUAUUCUUUUGCUUUGGAACAUCGAUAAAAGUCGGCCUCUUUGCAAUAGUCACCCAGUUAGGCUGCUUGCUCGCUUUGUACGCAGCCUUGCCGUACACCUCCUCGAGCAACCCAACAAAUCUCUUGAUCUGCCAAAAAUAACAAAUAAGAUGAAGUCAAAAACAUGUUAACCAAAAUAGUUAAGUUCAGGUACAUAAAAAGCGACACUUGCAUAAGAUCCAGCUAAACAAAUAGCAGAAGUUCAAUUGUCAAAUGAUAGUCAGUUCAAGUAGUAUUACCACAAUAGAGAUAGAAACAUAUUUUCUCAACAGAAGGCAUAAUAAACUUCAUGUCAAACAAGAGAAUAUGAAAGGAGGUUUAGGCUAAGAAACACUCACGAUAUUUUGGCAGUCUCCGUGGAAACUUGUUCGUGACAUUCCCUUAUCAGUGUAAGGAAGUGAAUCAAGGAUGUCAAUGCUCCCACGAUAUCUAUUCAGCACAUACACACUGUAGUGCGCCAUUGUGUCAAUUGGCUUGAAUAGUAUUAAAAAACCUGCCAAGAAUGAAAGAAACGGUGAACACAAACUAUAAAGCAUAGAUAUUGAACAACCGGGAUGAACAAAAACUUCUUGACAAACUCAACAAAAGGAUGUAAAUAAAAUUUAAAAAAGUAAGAGUUAUGAAAACCUAACCAGCUUUGCGUUAAGAAGGUCUUCUUCCUUGCUAACAAACAUUCGAAGGAGAUUAGCAGAUUUUUUUGUAUCGAACUUUGGAACUGUUGCAACGAAGAAAUCAUACUCCAGGCAGUACUGUGCAUUCACAAAAACACAAAUAAAACACCUCCCAAAUGCCACUACAACAAAACUAGAGCAAAAAAAGGGAGAUAGGGGUGCAAAGAACUAAAACAUGUAUGAAGUAGGGACUAAGUACAACCAUGUCAGCACUAGUGAAUAUCUCAGAGGUCUCCGGCUUAUCCUUCCACAAAUUUAUGAGAUAAUCCAUUAUGUCUCCUUCCAUCUGCUGCCCUUCACCGAAAAGAGUAUAAAGGACACGUUAUGUGAGGUCGAUCACAUUCCCAAGGAUGGUAAACAUGCAGUAGCUUGUGCUGCAGAUUUAAAAGGAUGGGGAAAAAUAUUAGAAGUUCAGAUACAAUAACAAACAGAAGUUCAGAUACUAUAACUCAAAGGCAAUAGAGAUGAACGGAAGUUCGGAUACUAUAACAACAGAAGUUCGGACACUAUAACUCCAAGGCAAGGGAGAAAUGAACAGAAGUCCACAUACUACAACAACAAAAGUUCAGAACAAAGUAGCAUCCACUACAAAAAAAGACACAUCCGUGACAUUUUGGGCCGAACGAAAAUCUUUUCUGUCAUACUUAUGACACUUUUAUGAUGAUAAUUGUGACAAAACCCGGUAUCAUCAUAGAUGUGGUGGGGUCCUACUUCUAUGACAAAAAAUCAUGACAAAAAAUGGGCUUUUCGUCCUGGGCGGGCCGGAGACGCAGCUGCAUGACAUUCUUUGGGCCGUCCAUGACGGAAAAAACCGUGGUAGAAGCGAGGGCGCGGAAAAUAUCGAGGAGUCCCUGGUUACGGUGGGUGGUCGGGGGCCGAGCGAUGCGCGUUUGUCUCGUACGUAUGCGCGUGUGUGCAAGGCGUUGGGCUCUAACUAAUCCCGAGCGAGGCAUUGGGCUCUAACUGAACCCGAGCGAUUGCACUACAGGCUACGCGUUACUGAACCCGAGCGAUCGAUCGAUGGCUGUUAACUGAACCCGAUCGAGCGAUUCCUUCGCUACUGCAGCUAACUGAAGUCGAUCGAUGCUGCCUCUGGAUGAACAGUGAGCGUUGCUGGGGGGUUUGGAUGAACAGUUCCCGGUGGGGGUGGAUGAACAGGAGCCCGUGGCGUUGCCUCUGGAUGAACAGUGAGCAUUCCUGGGGGGUUCGGAUGAACAGUUCUCGGUGGGGGUGGAUGAACAGGACCCCGAUCGUUCGAGCCGGUUGGGGCUGGAUGAACAGGACCCCGUGGAGGGCAGGAUGAACAGGACCACCCCGUGGAGGGCAGGAUGAACAAUAGACGGUGGAGGGCUGGAUGAACAGUAGCCCGUGGACGGGUGGUUGAACAGGAGCCCGUGGAGAGGGCUGGUUGAACAGUAGGCGGUGGAGUAGCGCGCGGUGGAGGCUGGAUGAACAGGAGCCCAUGGAUGAACAGUCGCAGGUGGAGGCUGGAGGAGGUCGACGGUGGAUGAACAGUAGCCCGUGGAGGCUGGAGGGGGUCGACGGUGGAGAUGAACAGUAUCCCGUGGAGUCCCGUUUGCGGUACGCCACACCCCUCCCGAUGAACAAGACCCCCGUUUCGACCGUAGCGCUCCAACACAAGUCCGUUUCCUCCGUUUUGCGGUACGCCACACCCCUCCCGAUCAACAGGACCCCCGUUUCGACCGUAGGAGGUCCGUUUCCUCCGUUUUGUGGUACGCCAGACCCCUCCCGAUGAACAGGAUCCCGUUUCGAACGUGGCCGGUCGAACACAAGGCUGUUUCCUCCGUUCUGCGGUACGCCAGGCCUCGUUUCCAUCGGCUGUUCCGUCCAAGCCCUCCCGAUGAACACGACGACGCAUUCUGUUCUGACCCAGCCAGUUGGCUCUCCAUGAACAUGACGACGACGCUGUUUCUCCGUUCCGACCCAGCCAUGUACACGAGCCCUGGCCGUACGUAUGCGCGACUAGGCAUUCGAGACCCUGCCCAUAUGUACGUACGUGGCCGUAUUUUCUUUCUUGCACACUGGCCGCUGUACGUACGUGUACAUGCCAUGUGCGCGCCUCUACUACGACACGUGCGCGCCUCUACAUCGACCAGUAUGUACGUACAUGUUCGCGACCAGAAUGACAACGCUACGUACGCUUCGACCAGGUGGGUCCCGACUGUCAGGCACUUCCUUGCGUGCGAAGAUGUAGCUGGUGGGUCCCAGCAGUCAGGGGGGCGAAUCGUUUUUUUGCCCGGACGCACUUCCUUGCGUGCGAAGAUGUAGCUGGUAGGUCCCAGCAGUCAGGGGGAAACGUUUUUUUUCGCGAAAUACAGUUGCCCGUCUGGUGGGUCCCUGCUGUCAGGUGGAGGAAUAAUUAUUUAGCGCGUAAUAAGGAGGCACUUCCUUGCGGCCGCCGUGGACCCAGCUGUCAGCCUCUCCACGUACAGUACUCUUCCGAUGGAAGUCGUUCCUUGACCACGUUGACCACGCCGCGCCGAGAGCACCAGGGCGGUGGACGACGGUGAGGCCUAGGAAGGGGACGACGCGGAGCCGGGGAAGACGCGGCAGUGGAAGCCCGCGCGGAGAGGAGUACGAGGGUUCACUGGUUCGGCUGUGGUGUGAGGCUGCCGUCGCCGCAGGGCCUGGCCAUCGGUAGGAAUAGUAGGAGGUGGUGAGGCCUCCGCGGUAGCACAGCCGGCCACGGGAGGCAGGAGCAUGCGGCACGGCCGGCGCUGCUUUGGGCGGCUGGAGCAACAAGACCAGAGGUUGAAGAAGCACUACGACCAUUGGAUGGACAUCGUACGGUCACUGGAGCUAGAAUCGUUCAUAUUGACUAAGUUGACAAAGCACUCCGUCCCCGUCAACUUAGUAGGCCCACAAGUCAGCUUCCGAAACGGUGCGCCCAGAUGUCAGGGGGAGGAAUCAUUUUUUGGGCGGGUGAAGCUAGAAUAUCCGAGAUUGAAGAAGAAGCAAGGCAUCCGUUGGAUGGACAUCCAACGGCCACUGCUACUAGAACCGUGUGUCGACUAUAAGUUGACAAAGCCUUGCAUACGCGUCAACUCUCUUUUUUAGGGGACGCGUCAACUUAGUAAGGCCACAAGUGUGUGGCAGAGAACUUAUAGCCCAUUUGUGAUUUGUAAGAAUGUGCAGCCAAUUUUUGAAUUCUAAUGGAAUUUACUACAGCCCAUUUACAGUUUGUUAAAAGUACAGCCCAUUUCAACCAACCGUUCAAAACAGAAUUCAAUAAAAUUUCCCACAUUUUGAUGGGAUCCGAAAUAUUUUUAUCCCGAAAUUUCUAGUCAGAUUAAAUACAAUUUCAAUAUAAAUUUAUAUUACAUAAAAAUCCAACGAAACAUUGCGCACGCAACAAUUAAUGAAAUUAAAAUUUUCAAUAUCCAAAAAUAAUAUUUUAUAAAGUAAUUACGUGUUUGGUGCAUUUUUUAUAGUUACUGUCCAGUUUUUAUAAUUACAUCCCAUUUAUUAUUUCUUAAAGCCCAUUUUCUUGUUACGCCUAAUGCAUCCCUCCUAGGAAAGAUUUGCAGCCCAGCGGGGCGGAGAAUAACAACUUGACCUUGCCUGGGUAUUCCUAAAAAAAGUAUAGCUAGGCUAGCCAUUUUCAGCUUGAAAAAAAUUAAUAUCUGGGCUGGAUAUCUGGCCUGGGCUAGACGGGCCACAGCCCGGCCAGUUAAUAGCUGCAGCGAUGUUUUCGUUGUUGUUCAGAUGAGAAAAAUUAAUAUCUGGGCUAAACAUUGCUCAAGAAAAACUCUGCAGUGCUCACACCUCAAAAACACAAAUACUGCUCGAGAUGCUUGGUCCCAGCUGUCGGCCGCUUCUUGUGCAAUUCUCUCAUUUAUUGACUACAUAGGUUCACAAUGGUGUGGGACCGUGAUGUCAGGAAACCAGGAGGAAGCAAUUUUUUUUAUAGUUUUAUAUACUAAUAAGGAGGCACUUGCUGUCAUCCUCUCCAAGUAAAGUCAUCUCCUCAUCCUCAUGUCCGUUGACCAUGUUGACAACGCGAGACGGCGGCGCCACGGUGAGCGCAACAACUCGAAGGACGACGGAGAGGGCCUCGCGGGCCCUACGGAUGGUCUGAUACAGCGCCCGCUGCUCAUUCAGGAAGCCAGGAUCAUAGGGCCACAUGUCCGUGACGGCAUUGUCGUUCGCUUGUUCACCGGUGCUCGUUGAGGAGACGGAGGUUGCAGCACAGGUCCUCCUGCGCUGGUAGCUCUUCCGCCAUUAGGGCGUCGAAGUGCGGCCGCACCUGCUCUAUGGUGAACACGGCAUGAACCGGCUUGGACAGUGGCGCCGGCUCCUGGUCGGAAGCUACGUCCAUUGUCUGAUUGUCGUUGCUCAGCUCGACGAGGUAGCUGGCGAGCCAACAUGUCCGGCUGCUGGACCGACCCGCUGCCAAGGACGAGUCUGAUUGCCCUGGCCCACCCAGACCGCCUCCCUCGCCCGCGCGCGCUUUUCGCCCGAAACGGUCGGCGCCGCCCGCCCCGCUUCCCGGUGCAUGCGAUUGCUCCGCCUUCAAACGACACAAGUGCUGUCCGUCCGUCCUUAUGCCGCCCACAUUAAUGAUAUGCGGUUGCCGAGGCGGCUACUAUGGCGCCACACGUCCGUCCCUCCGCCGCCCACCAUUGCUAUAUAUACUGCUGCGCCGGCCAUAGCCGCAGUCAUCCGCAUUCGUUCCUAUUCUCCUGUCCACACCACUACUGCCCACCAUGGCUUCCUCGCGCUCUAGCGCUCUUCGGGACGGGCGGACGACGGACCACAAGGAGAUGGCAGCCAUUGCUGCCGACUGGCUGGCCGGCAGGCAGCCGGAGGACGACAACGUCCCAAUGGAGAACAUGGUAGUCGACGAUCCGGCGCCAACCCCCUAAUCCGCGCCAUCCUCGCCGGUGCAUUGCACAUGACCAUCGGCGAGGCCCGUGCCCAAUAUAUGGACCCGGUGAGGCAGAAGCGUGAGGAGCAGUUCCAGGAGGCACAGGCCGACGCCGCCUACAACCACCAUCUCCUCCAGGAGCACCUUCAGGCGGAGGAGCAGAUUGCCGCGGAGCAGGAGGCGCUGCUCGACUCGUACCGCUCCGCCCGCGAGGGCCGCCUCGAGCGCUAGCGGUAUCACAUGCAGGUGGCGGAGGCUGCGGCCGCCUACAAAGAGGGCGAUGAAGCGGCCGAGGCGCUGUUUGGCGAGACCGAGGACGAGGCAGAGGACAAUGACGGCUCCAACGAGUCCCCGCUCCGCUGGCGUCGACGAGGCCCUGCUCUGCCGAGGCCCCGCGGCGCCAACAACGAGGCAGAGGACACCGCCGGCUCCGCCGAGGCCCCACCCUGCUGGCAACAAGGGGGAGGAUUUUCCCCCGCUCCGCUGAGGCGCCGCCCGCCGGCAACGAGACAAAGGACAUCGCCGGCUCCGCCGAGGCCCCGCCCUGCUGCCAACGAGGCCGCGCCACAUAGAAAACAAGGAAGGGUAGAACACGGUAGGUCGCCGCCGCUCGGGUCCAAGUAAGGCCACCGCUGCUACCCUCCGGUUGCUGGCACUGAGCUGUACAUCAUGGUGCAAUUCUAUGGUUAUAGGCUGAUUGAAGAGCGCUCCGUGGUUGAGCAAGCUCAUGAGAUACAGUCAUUUGCUAGAGAACUUGAGCACUUCAGUUGUAUGCUAUCGGACAAUGUGCGAAGUAAAAAGGAAUAGAAGGAGUACAAAGAGUUUGAGCAGCUUUUUAGCAUUCCUGUACAUUGCAAUCACAUCGAUUCACAUGUCAUAGAGAACAUUCAAAACAAUCGAUGAUUAUGCAUCUCAGCGAUUCACAUGUCAGAGCCAAUAUUUACUUCACAACUAAAGAAUAAAGAAAAAAAUGGAUCGACGCUGUUGACAGCAAAGGGCGUCCCAUUCAAAAAUAUGAAACGCAUGUCUUCUUGCUAAAAUCAAUGAGCAAAAUUUGACAAGGUUUUCCCAUUCCAAAAUAUCAAAUGCCUAUGAUUGUGGAAUGGGCAGGGUUUGCCAUUGAAAGUGCUAGUUAUCGACUAGAGGGGGGGGGGGUGAAUAGGCGAUUUUUAUCAAAGUCUUAAAAACAUGAGAGUUUCGAAGACAAACAAUAGAAAUGAAUCUAUUCAUAUGCAGCGGAAGGUAGACUACACUAGGCAGGCCAUAGUCAAGUAUUCAAUGAAGUGAAAGCACGAAGACUAAUAGCAGCUAGGUAGUAAAGAUCAGGAUGGAAGAUAGUAUGAAGCCAAACAACAAUAGAAGUCAAACAGGUAACACAGGCAGGCAAUGACUUCACGAAGACAAACUGUAAAUAAAGAGAGGGAGAGGAUAGAACCAGUCGCUUGGUGAGGACAAGGAUUUGUUGCACCAGUUCCAGUUGCUGGGACAACUGUACGUGUGGUUAGGGAGGCUGAGAUUUAACUCAGAAGACCGUGUCUUCACCUUAUUCUCCUUGAGCUAAGGACACCCAGUCCUCGCCCAAUCACUCUGGUAAGUCUUCAAGGUAGACUUCCAAACCUUCACAGACUUCGUUCACCGGUGAUCCACAAUGACUCUUGGAUGCUCAGAACGCGACGCCUAACCGGCUGGAGGAUUCACAGUCCUCAAGUGUAACAAGUCUUCAGGUCACGCAGACAGAAAGACUUCAGUGAAGCCUAACACUCUUUGGCUCUCGGUGUUUGGGCUUUGUCCUCGCAAGGAUUUCUCUCUCUCAGAAGCUUCGGAGGUGGGUUGCUCUCAAACGACAAAAGCCAUGCACUAACUCUGAGCAGCCACCAAUUUAUGGUGUAGGGGGUGGGCUAUAUAUAGCCACUAGGCAACCCGACCUGAUUUGUCUGAAAUGACCCUGGGUCAUUAAGGAUUUGACACGUGUUCCAACGGUCAGAUUUCAAACACACGCGGCAGCUUGACUUGGGCUACAAGUAAAGCUGACUCAUCCAACUCUGGAUAAGAUUUGCUCUCAUUGUCUUCGCUCGAAGACAUAGGAUUUGGUUGAGCAUCACUUCAGUCACUCUAACUUUGUUCACUUGGACCCCACUUAAUAGUACGGUGGUUCCUAUGACUCAACAAAGAAGAAAAUGAAACAACGAAACAACUAUGUCUUCGCGCUUCAAAGUCUUCACGCGAUGUCUUCUUAUGUCAUAGUCUUCAAUGUGAAUAUCUUCACAUACCACCAUUGUCUUCAAUGUCUUCACACAUUUUUAGGGGUCAUCUCCGGUAGGUAAACAGAAUCAAUGAGGGACUACUACCUGUGUUAUCCUGCAAUUCUCACAAACACAUUAGUCCCUCAACCAGGUUUGUCGUCAAUACUCCAAAACCAACUAGGGGUGGCACUAGAUGCACUUACAAUCUCCCCCUUUUUGGUGAUUGAUGACAAACUGGUUGAAGUUUUCAACGGGGAUAAAAGUAUGUGAAAUUGUAGAGGUUAAAGGUAUUGUCUUCAUAAGUAGCAACAGGCUCCCCCUGAAGAUGUGCAUAUAAGUAAUUUGCUUUUGGAAUGCAAAUGCACAUGGCAGGUUGUACUUGUGGAGAUCCUCUUCGACUUAUGAAGAUAAUUGAUCAUGCAUGAUAAGAUAUAACUAAGAUAAUGAAAUGCAUAAUAAAAAAUGGACGUCUGCAAUAUGACUUCGUGCGGGAUUUAUCAUCGCACAUGCGGAAUUUAUCAUCGCAUCACAGAAAAGCGAACAAGUAGCAGACGACCAUCAAGUUUAAGUGUUACAACUCAAAGAACCAAAUGUAUCGAAAGUGAGAGUUGUAAACACUAGGCAAAAUAUAAAGCAACCGCCCAUAUGGACCCGCUUGAAGACUAUCAACUCAUAUGCUUCUCCCCCUUUUGUCAGUAAGGACCAAAAAGGUUUGAAGACAUAGAGCCUCUACUCGUUCCCAGAAGGAGUAGGUGAAGCUGCAGGGUCGGUGUCGAGGUUUGGCGGUGCAGAAGAACUUGGGGCAUUGUCGACACGCACUGAAGUUGGAGGUGGUGAGGUAGCAUCAUCUUGAUCAUCGAUGACUCUGGCAUUCACCGUUGCAGCUGAGGAGGAAUAGUCAGAGUCUUCAAGAGAGGGAGUCCGACGCAAGACAGCAUUCCUUGGAGGAGUGGAGUCAAACUUGAAUCUUUCAGUGAAGCCAUCGUCUUGAAGAUCUGCUUCAACACUGAGCAAGGUUAAACUCUUCCAUGACCCCCGACAGGUUUCAUGAGUGACAAAUGCAUUCUUGGUGGCAAGAUUGCGAAUGCGAUUUACGUCCACCAAGAGGCUUUGCAUCUGCCGCUUCAGCCAGUAGUGAUGCUUAUCCUAUUUCUGAUGCAGGGCAACGAGAAGCUCUCGGUCAUUGAGAACACGAGAUUGCUUCCGAGGCCUUUGAGCAAUAGUGCUUUCAGUGGCUUUAGUAUGGGCACGGUGAGGGAAGCGUGUAUUGCCAGCCAAAGGAUAAACACGAGUGACGGCCUGAACUCCUUCAAUGGGCUAUGUGAAGCUUUGGUGAUCAACAUUGUGAAGACAAACAGGCUCCUUGGCAGGCUCCGGGUAUAUGGCUUCAACUGACAUAUCAACCUAUGGCAAAAAUAUCAGAUGGUUGCAUGCAGAAGGUCGAUAGUUGACGGCAGAGUGAAGCUUGAUAAGGCGCAUAACCCAUGGAGCGUAGAACUUCAGACCAAAGAGAUCAGAGCCUGAUGCAGCCAAUUGUCUGAUAAAGAAGUCUUGAGCAUUGAAGCUGGUGCCAUUGAAGAUAUAAAAGACCAAUGUCUUCAUCGCUCCUUCAAGCUUUGCUGCAGAAGAAUGUCCUUUGACAGGCCAGAGAGUUCGCCUUAUGAUAUGAUAAAUAGUGCGGGGCAGAUACUCUAGGUCUUCAACAAAGAAAUCUCUUGGGUACUCAGCGUCGCGUGGCAGAGGCUUCGUCAUGCUUAGCAUUUGGUUCAUGUUGGGCUCUGGCUUCUGAAAGAUGCUCUCGAAUGCAUUGCGGUGAAGCUGACAACCAGGCUCGAAGAGUUCACCUGGAGUGGGCAGGCCAGUUAGCUCAAUGAUAUCAAGAGCUUUGGCUUCAUGAUGGACAUUGCCUGUCAUCCACUCAAGGACCCAAGUCUUCGGAUCCCCGUUGUAGCCGCGAAUGUGGAGGGUAGCAUAAAAUUGUAGCAGAAGCUCUUCAUUCCAAUGCUCCUUAUCAGUCACAAAGUUCAACAGACCAGCAUCACGGAAGCAGUCAAGGGCUUCUUCAAGGCAGGGCAGUCCAGCAAUGGCUUCAGUGUCUAGACGCAUAUGUGGAAAGAUACGCCCUUGGUCAUAGAGAACACAGGAAUAGUAGCUGCGCUGCUGAUAGCUCCAGAACCGAUCUGAUGAAAUCCUUGGCUUGGAAUAGGGGUUCUUGGCACUAUCAAAGAAGGGACAAUUGCAUUUUUACCCCUAGUUGGUUCCUACCCACGGGUUUUGCCCUUACUUUUCGAGCUUGAUCAGUUUUGCCCUUACUUUUUUCGUCGAGGUCCCUCGAAUGCCCUUUGACCGUUUGACCAAAACUUUGAAAAUUCAUAACUAAUUCAUAUGAACUCGGAAAAAUGCAAAUAAGAUAUCAAAAGCACCCUUUAUGUGCAUAUUAUUUUCAUUCGAGGACAUAUGAACUCGGAAAAAUGCAAAUAAGAUAUCAAAAGCACCCUUCAGAUAAACAUUACCUUUAUGUGCAUAUUAUUUUCAUUCAGGACAAAAGCACCCUUUAAACUACCUAAGGUAAUUAAUGUUAUUAACAUUAUCAAAAAUAAAAAGUUAUAAAUAAUAUUUUUUUCAUGAAUAAAAAAUACAUGCAAAUGUAGGUGAUGUUUUCUGAACAUCCAGAUAUCUUAUUUGCAUUUUUCUGAGUUCGUAUCAUCUUGUUAAGAAUGUUCUAAUGACUUUGACCAUUAUUUGGAAACUUCAUAACAAGUUGAUACGAACUCAGAAAAAUGCAAAUAAGAUAUUAGGAUGUUCAGAAAACAUCACCUACAUUUGCAUGUAAUUUUUAUUCAUGAAAAAAUAUUGUUUAUACCUUUUUAUUUUUAAUAAUGUUAAUAAUAUUAAUUACCUCUGGUAGUUUAAAGCGUGUGUUUGUCCUGAAUGCAAAUGAUAUGCACAUAAUGGUAAUGUUUAUCUACACAUUUCGAUAUCUUAUUUGCAUUUUUCCGAGUUCAUAUGAAUUAGUUAUGAAUUUUCAACAUUUUGGUCAAACGGUCAAAGGGCAUUGGAGGGACCUUGACGGAAAAAGUAAGGGCAAAACUGAGCAAGCUCGAAAAGUAAGGGCAAAACCCAUGGGUAGGAACCAACUAGGGGUAAAAAUGCAAUUGUCCCAUCAAAGAAAGUGUUGUGCGCAAUGAAGCCAUUUGCAUUGAAUGACCCUGGUGAAGUUGCUGUACCUGGAAACCUUGGCAACCUUGGCUUAGGCUUCUGGACCUGAGGCCUGUGCUCGAUAUGAUAGUCAAAUUGUGGACCAGCAGCAGGUGGAGGAACCAGAAUGGGCCAUCUAACAGUGACCAGCCGACCAUGAUCAUAUGCCUGCUCGAUGGUGUGUGGCCGUGGAGGCGGUACAGGAGCAGUGGCUGUGGUUUUGACUUUAGGCUGCAGAUUUGCGUCAGGUGCAGCAUUGGCUUCAGGUGCAAUCACGUCGUGCACCACAUUAACUUUAGGCGCCAUAUUAGCUUCAGCCAUGACAACGCCAUUGGCUUCAGUGUUGGUGUUGGUGGUCGCCUCAAUGUUAUCAACCUCCACUCGAGUAGCUGGAGGGUCGUACAUGUUCUCCUCGAGAACAACUUCAGGGUUGGUUGGGGGUGUAGCAACACGUUCUUCUUCAUCUCUUGGUUCUUCUUGGUCAUCGGCUGAUGCAGCCGGAAUAUCUUCAGCCGCGUUGGCUUCAGACUCGGAGUUGUUCACUAUUGGAGAGGCUUCAGGAAAUACUUGGCGAGAUACUGAUUGGUGCUCUUCUCCUUUUGGAACACUCGACAGAGUGACUUGUGGCCUUGGUCCUUUACGAAGCCUGCGGAACGCUGGCGACGCUUGUGGAGAUGGAGUUGUCUGGGCCACAAAGUCUUCAUCUUCAAGCACCGGAGUGGUGACUUGAGUUGGGGGAGUAGUUGGUGUUUCUUCUUGUCGGGGGGAGUCUUGAGGGUGAUCAGCCCAUGAAUCAUCCUGAGCAAUUGGCGUCAAGGGACGACCAAUGCUGAUGAGUUCGCUGUUCGUGAGAACAGGCGAUGAUACCACAUUUUGCUCGAUCUGAGGAAGGGCUUCAUCAUCUUCUACAUUGUCAUGUUGACCAAUGUCUUCAGCUACGGUGGGGUCAACAGCUGGAAUGUCUUCAGCUUCAGGAGCUUCAAUGGAAGCAGGCUCAUGAACUAUCAUUCGGCGCUCUUGAUGUGCAGAUGCAGGACGAGCAACAGAAAUUGGCUCGACGACAAGGGGCUCUGUGGGAGCAGCCCGAUCCUUCUUCUUGGUUUUUCACUUCUUGGCAGGAGGAGCCUCGUCAGUGGUGUUCUUGGUCUUGCGCUUUCUGGCUUCGGCUUCAGCUGCCCUCGUUUUCUUGAGCUCCGAAGCCACUGUGGUGACCUUAGGCUUCACGCCUGACAUACUGGCCGGGAAGACAAUGCGAGGUUCUUCCCGCCUGGAUGCUUCAGCUUGGUCCACAGCUGGCUUCUUCUUGGCAGCCAUCUUAGGGUCAAUGCCAGGAUGCCCAAGUGCCUUGCGCUUCUCAGCUUCAUUGUAGGCUUGAAUACAUUUGGCAGCCAAGAGCUUUAUGCGCUCUCAAGAACCUUUGGCUUCAUCACGUUUCUUGUGAAACACCUCCUUGAGCUCAUGCAUCAUGGUCUUGAAGUUUUGGACGUCUGUCGCACUGAGCUCGGCCAUAUGCUUCUUGAACUGAGCCUUUUCAUAGUCAAUCUUGUGCUUCAGUUUAACAAUUUUCUGAGCUAGAGCCAGCUCAGGAGCAAUGGCUCCAUGGAAGGAGACGCUGAGGCCAAUGGGGAGUUGGAGAUCAUCAAAACUGAGGUUUGGGCUGUCAAACCACUCGUCAAUGAAUUUGUCCAGAUUGUCCACAUCGAAGAGGGGAAGAUCAUUGAAGAUUUCCGCCUCUUGCUUGCUCUUUAUUAGCAGCUCAAGAGCAUCAUCGCCAAAAUCGUCGUCACUAGACAGAUCAAUGGCGUCGUUCUCAUUCCUCAGAACGGCAACAGGGGUCAGUGCUUGAACAGUAGGAUGCACGGGCUUCUUCUUCUUCUUAGACUUGGAGAUGCGAGAGAGAUCUUCAGAGUGCACGCUUGGUGCAGGAGGAGCAGUGCCCAGAGGCUUCGCUUGCAAAGCUCUUGGUGCAGCUGAGGGCUUCGAAGCCUUGGGUUUCUUCAGCUUCUUAGGCUUCGGUGGUGCAGGCGCUUCGUCAGAAUCAACGUCAUCUGCAGAGUGAUCCACGGCUGCCCCUUGAACCAUGAUGUGAGUGAUGAGACCCUCUAGGUUGUAGAAGGGCCCAACAAGAUUGGGUUCAGCUUCGCGUGUGCCAUCUGCACAAGGAGCAGAGGGACCUGGGUUGAAGUCUAAUCCCCGCGACUUCUUGUUCUCUUUGGCUGAGUUCUUGGCAAACUGAAAGUUGCGCUUGAACAGAUUGUCUUCAUGACACCAUAGCAGAGAGGAUGGGUCGGCAUCAGCAGGCUGCGGUCCACGGACCAUGCAAGGGUAGAAACCCUGAUCAAUGGCUUCAGCUCUGGACCUGGGUGGAAGAUUUUUGUAGAAGAUGUCUCCCCAGGGUCGCUUGAUGGCAUUCUUUUCAGCAUAUUCCUGGGUGACGAACCUGUACUUGAACCAUUGUUCAGACCAAUAUCUUCGAAUCCAUUGGAUUCGAGUUUUGCGUUGGCCAUAGCUCUCCUCAGGAUCAGUUUUGUAAAGCUCAUAUAGAUCUUCGGGCAGAUCCAUUGAUGUGCCCCCGCGGCGCUGUCUGCCUCCCUUCCUUGCUGAUUUUUCUGUUGCCAUGAAGUUCAGACUGAAAGGCUUCAAAGCUGUCAAAGUCUUCCGUCUGCUGGUCAGACAGGAACUGGCUUCGGGAGAGUUGAUGAUGCUGUAAGAAUUCUGCAAAUGAAUGCAGACUAUGAGAACCAAGGGAUUCUCCCACGGACAUGUACCUGUGACAGCAUUAGAGUUGCGAGGGAAGGGGAAGAGGUCAUAUGCAUUCUCAGAAGAUUUUGAAGAAAAAUCAGUUUAGAAGACUUUGACCUCAUAGCGUGAAGACAUUCACUUAUAUGUUGAGAGUUGGUUCUAGAUUUGUACGAAUCCAAGAAUAGGUACAAGUGAGGAAUCUAACUACAUGUGAAGCAUAAGUGAAUAUACUAGGCAUCAUAUGAGAUGCAAAACAGGAUAGAUCCAAAUUUGUGGAGACAGAAACCACUUUUGGUAGGAAGGAUGAAUCUGUCGGAUCAAAAAGAUAGUAAAAAAGAGAGUUUUAAUUUACCACACGAUGAACUGCUAGACGGAGUAGAAGAUGAGGCCGAGCGGUUCGAUCUUCCGUGCCCUAACUUGGCGACGGAGGACACCUACGGCGGCGGCGGAGAAGACGAUGUCCGUGGCCGGCGUGAAGACGGCGUCGGAGAGGUCGCGACAGCUAAGCGCUUCGUCGCCGGCGUCGUCGAGGGCUAGCGGUGGCGCUAGGGUUUGUCGAGGUGGAGAGGUGGAAGAAGUGUUUUGACCGCGAUGUGAUGUGCAUGUAUAGGGAGAGGGACGGCACAGCGCAAUUACGCAGGUGCCCCUGGCGGUUCACAUCUGAGGGACACAACAUGCAACACAUUGGAAGUUGUUCCAUGUUCCCACGCACGCCUGGACUGUCGGGUGGUCGUUCCGGCUUCUCCGGGUUUCAGGCAAUAAGGAUUGAGCAUUUAAAACAGAUUUAAUGUUUGUCUCUGUAUCUUCUGCUGACAAGGACGCAGAGAAGACAUUCGACGGUUUCAAUAGAAUGCAUAUGAUUUGGAUAGAUAGAGUUUGAGGUAGGAAGCAUAGAGAGGUUAGGGUCCGAUCACAUUCACUUAGUUCAAAAGAUUCAAACGAGAUGACAUAGCUAUAAGUGAAUGCUGUAGAGGACAGAACACUAACAUAUGUAUAUAUCAGAACAAGACCAAAAGAAGUCAUGUUACUAUUGAAGACAAAUCAAAUGCGAAGACUUAGCAAAUGUAACGCCAAGAGAAAAACAUUCCAAACAAAAGUUUGGUGGUGGUGUUACCCACCGUAUAGGAAGUAUUAGACCCAGACACGGCGCACAAUUAUCGUGGUGCUCCGAAGUCAAAUUCCGCAUUAAUGUAUUCACACUCAGAGUGUAAGUCUUCAUUGAUUGCAGAUAUACAUUACUUCGUGUGUUGCUCAUCUAAGUCAUCAACAUGCAUAAGUGUUAGGAUGUGUGCCUGAUCGCAGGACAUUCGAGGAUUCCAAGAUAUUUAGCUCACACCGCAACUUGCAAAACCUUUUCUCAUCCAAGGGCUUUGUGAAGAUAUCUGCCAAUUGCUCUUCAGUGUUGACGUGUAUGAUAUCAAUAUCUUCCUUCAUAACAUGAUCUCUGAGAAAGUGAUGACGAAUUUCAAUGUGCUUUGUCUUCGAGUGCUGAACUGGAUUGUUGGCAAUCUUGAUGGCGCUUUCGUUGUCGCAGUAGAGUGGUACUUGUUUCAGAUGGAUGCCAUAGUCCUUGAGAGUUUGCUUCAUCCAUAGAAGCUGAGCGCAGCAAGAUCCAGCAGCAAUGUAUUCAGAUUCAGUAGUGGAGAGUGAUACACAGUUCUGCUUCUUUGAAGACCAACAGACAAGUGAUCGUCCCAGAAAGUGACAUGUGCCUGAUGUAGACUUGCGAUCCACCUUGUCACCAGCAUAAUCAGCAUCCGAGAAUCCAACUAGAUCAAACUCUGAGCCCUUUGGAUACCAUAAUCCUAGUGUUGGGGUGUAAGCCAAAUAUCAAAGAAUUCGCUUCACAGCUAAGUGAUGCGAUUCCUUUGGUGCCGGUUGGAAUCGAGCACACGUGCAAACACUAAGCAUGAUAUCUGGCCUAGAUGCACAUAAAUAAAGUAAAGAACCAAUCAUGGAGCGGUAUACCUUUUGAUCGAACUCUUUACCAUUGGUGUCGGGACCCAGAUGACUCUUGGUUGGCAUUGGCGUCGUGUAACCUUUGCAGUCUUGCAUUCCAAACUUCUUCAGGCAGUCUCUGAGGUAUUUCUCUUGAGAUAUGAAGAUGCCAUUGCUUUGCUGACAAAUUUGAAGACCAAGGAAGAACUUCAGCUCACCCAUCAUGGACAUCUGAUAUUGCUCUUGCAUCAUGUGUCCAAACUCAUCACUGUAUUUCUGGUUGGUGCGGCCGAAGGUAAUGUCAUCCACAUAUAUUUGGCACACAAACAGUUCACUAUCAUAUGUCUUCGUGAAGAGUGUGGGAUCCAGGGAACCAGGUUUGAAGCCUUUGCUCUUCAGGAAGUAUUUGAGUGUGUCAUACCAAGCGCGAGGGGCUUGUUUGAGGCCAUACAAUGCCUUGUUGAGCUUGUACACCAUAUCAGGAUGUUUUGGAUCUUCAAAGCCAGGAGGUUGUGCAACAUACACUUCUUCUUCAAUCUUGCCGUUGAGAAAUGCACUCUUCACAUCCAUUUGAUACAGAAAGAUGUUGUGAUGAUUUGCAUAGGCUAGCAAUAUGCGAAUAGCUUCAAGCCUAGCCACAGGAGCAAAUGUUUCAUCAAAUUCAAUCCCUUCAACUUGAGUGUAUCCUUGAGCAACGAGACGAGCCUUGUUUCUGACAACUUGACCAUGCUCAUCUUGCUUGUUUUGAUAAAUCCAUUUUGUGCCUAUUAUGUUGUGCUUGCGAGGGUUAGGACGCUUGACAAGUUCCCAGACAUUGUUCAGUUUGAACUGUUGAAGCU
rnacentral:lncRNA from 1 species